rnacentral:rRNA from 1 species
GACAGAGGGUGCAAACGUUGUUCGGAAUUACUGGGCGUAAAGCGUGCGCAGGCGGUUCGUUAAGUUCGAUGUGAAAGCCCCGGGCUCAACCUGGGAACUGCAUUGGAAACUGGCGAGCUUGAAUGCGGCAGAGGGGGGUGGAAUUCCGCGUGUAGCAGUGAAAUGCGUAGAGAUGCGGAGGAACACCGAUGGCGAAGGCAGCCCCCUGGGCCGACAUUGACGCUCAGGCACGAAAGCGUGGGGAGCAAACAGG